UAGACACGCUUGAAGGUUGUUACACGAGAGAAUUACCUCGGUGCUUCGCUUAAGUCCUUACACAGCUAUAUUGACAGAGAAUAGUCGAUCCGAAGGUGUUUUCAUGCUACUUGCGAAAACGAUCUCACUGCCUAUCUUGGCUCUUCUUUCAUCAACUCAAUGGUAGGUUAUUAUCGGUUAGGCACCGCUUAUCCGAUCCAGAAGCUUCGAAAGAUUCUUCGGUUUACCUACGUAAAUGUGCUUGCCUCCUGAUCAUGGUCGACACAUCAUGUGUACGCCCGCGAAUGCCCCACAGCGCACGGCAUGUCUAGAGAACCAUCCUACUGACGGUCUGCUCCGCGUCGUCGCUGUCAAAAAUGUCCUCCCACUUUCAGCAGCUUAUCCUAAAACCGAAGAGGAAGUCUCUACAAAGUCUACACCAACUAAUUCUCCUUGUUUUCACAACAGCUUAAAUCGACUUUGUUCGUUCUUGUACAUUUAGCACAAUGCAUAGCUGCAAUGCAGUUAACAUGCACUUUAAGCCACUUCGUUGUUGGGCUUAUAUUACCUUGCCGACAAGUUGGAAAAGCGAGAAAAAGAGUCAGGCAAGCGUAUGCAGCACAUUGAUAUUUACUACAAGAGUUGAACGAAACAGUCGAAAAACACCCUAUAAAAGUCUAGAUAAAAGUGGACUAUUUAGCUAGAUACAGCGAUGUAGACUUGCUCGCUUUAUGGUUUUGAAUAGUGCGGUGAGUUGGGUUAACUAAAGAAACCUUACAGUAGUCUCUGUACGUUGUACUCCACGUUCCGCGGUUUAUGCAGGAAUAUGGAUUUCUAGCACGGCUACGAAAGCCAAAGUUGAAAGGGACAUCCGCCUUCCUUCACCCAAUGCAGUCACAGCCCUUACCUAUUGGCCGCCGUGUCUCAGACUAAAUUCGUAUCCGUUGCUCUGGCAAAAGCCGCGGCGCCUCCGGAAGCAAGAGGUGGCCCUGUGCGGGCAGCAUUCCAGCAUAGAAACGCCGUUUUCCAUUCAUUCCGGUACGUAGAAAUGUGUCUUACUUCCUUCCCCUUAUCCUCCCCUCUUCAGCCUUUAUUCGUAUUCUCGUUUUCCCCGUCUUCUAUAUUCGGUCGUAUCCCAAAACGGACGGAAACUACGGCUCCUCCGAAGCCUGCAAGCCCCAUUUUCCUUCAGAAUGGCAUAGACGGCCUUUAGAGGAAAGCGCAAUGACCUUGAAGCUUAACGGCUACCGAAAACGGGGGCUUAGCUGCUAAGCGGUAGACGGAACACUACUCCAGAGUUGCCAGCGCAGUAUCUCUUCUUUCUUCCGUCCGGCCGCCCUUUUCUCCUUGGAAAUCCUACACAGACUGGACCAAAUCUGGUUUCCGCCUACCGUUUUUCCCUAGAAAAGCUAUGGCGGCAACCAAUAAUCUUUUAUGUUGUGCCGUUACAGCAGAACCUUGAUAAUGCAGCAGCGCUGGCUUUGGCCCUUGGUCCGGGCUAGCUGCUUGUUCACUUCGCCAGAAUCUUUUGACUUAAAGGGAACUCAGUCCCUUCUUAUAUCCGCCUACAUCCCUUCCCAGCCUCUGCGUUCUGAUCGUUUAGUGCUCCAUUCUAAUCUGUUCUGUUUCGACAAACGUUUGACAAAGCCGGGCUCGAGUAGAUUGGACGGUGCGUUUGCUUACUUUCUCACAUAUUCGCCUGUCCAUCUUUACGCUCGCCUUAGGACGGAGUCGGUAGAUGUUCAUAGCCGAUAGCGUCGGACGUCGCUUGUGUGCAAAUGCUGGACGCUGGUGGAAUGCCAAUGAGUUCUGAUGUGGCCGUGCGUGUACGCGACGAUGCCGCACAAACAGUAUGGUUGAAUAGGCAGUAAGAAAAGGAACGUGUCCUGACAUUUUUACCGCAAAGACGGAGGAGUUGACUAAGCAAUAUGAGUAAGGUUACAAAGUGUAUCGCGCGAAGAGCUCUUCUUUGCCAAAAGAAACUUCCAGCUGUAGGAUGCUGCUUGCAAGACUGGCAAAAGGAUGAUAGACUGGUAGUGUAGCAAAGCACAACGCUCUUGACGAUUUUGAGGAGAAUCAUGAACUGGCAAGGUCUCUUGGUGCGCGUCGUGAGGUAGCCAUAUGCUGAACCCCGGCAGUAACUAAGUGUGUUUUAGUCGCGCACCAGCUUUAGCCUCUAUUCUAGCUCUUAUAACCUGGGAGCUUCCAACAAGAUAACGGGGAUAAAAGACCAGAAAAUGCUCGUGUUGCUUUCUGCCGUUAGUGUUGGCGGCGGCCUUAACCUACAGCCGGUUGGCGAGCAACGUAACCAUACGACAGCGAAGGCUUUUUUCUUGCUGCCAUAAGUAGGACCGGCAUUCGUGUAAGCGAGCUAUCUAGGACAAACCGUAACGGCCUGCUGAUAGCGCCACAGUUUGCGUAUUCACCUACUGAAGUUGGAGGCGGUGGCAAGUGA
rnacentral:lncRNA from 1 species